UACGUAGGCAGCGAGCGUUGUUCGGAGUUACUGGGCGUAAAGGGUGUGUAGGCGGUUGUUUAAGUUUGGUGUGAAAUCUCCCGGCUCAACUGGGAGGGUGCGCCGAAUACUGAAUGACUUGGAGUGCGGGAGAGGUGAGUGGAAUUCCUGGUGUAGCGGUGAAAUGCGUAGAUAUCGGGAGGAACACCAGUGGCGAAGGCGGUUGCCUGGAGCUUUGCUGACGCUGAUGCGCGAAAGCGUGGGGAGCGAUCCGG
rnacentral:rRNA from 1 species